rnacentral:rRNA from 1 species
GAUGAACGCUGGCGGCGUGCCUAAUACAUGCCAGUCGAGCGAACAGAUGAGGAGCUUGCUCCUCUGACGUUAGCGGCGGACGGGUGAGUAACACGUGGAUAACCUACCUAUAAGACUGGGAUAACUUCGGGAAACCGGAGCUAAUACCGGAUAAUAUAUUGAACCGCAUGGUUCAAUAGUGAAAGACGGUUUUGCUGUCACUUAUAGAUGGAUCCGCGCCGCAUUAGCUAGUUGGUAAUGUAACGGCUUACCAAGGCGACGAUGCGUAGCCGACCUGAGAGGGUGAUCGGCCACACUGGAACUGAGACACGGUCCAGACUCCUACGGGAGGCAGCAGUAGGGAAUCUUCCGCAAUGGGCGAAAGCCUGACGGAGCAACGCCGCGUGAGUGAUGAAGGUCUUCGGAUCGUAAAACUCUGUUAUUAGGGAAGAACAAAUGUGUAAGUAACUAUGCACGUCUUGACGGUACCUAAUCAGAAAGCCACGGCUAACUACGUG